GCUGCUUGGAGUUUAUUUUCUACUUGGUGCAAGGCACAGGGUUAUGAGGGGUCAGGAAGGCUCUCACGUGGGUUUGUACC